rnacentral:rRNA from 1 species
GACGAACGCAUGCGGGCGUGCUUAACACAUGCAAGUCGAACGGAAAGGCCCUGCUUUUGUGGGGUGCUCGAGUGGCGAACGGGUGAGUAACACGUGAGUAACCUGCCCUUGACUUUGGGAUAACUUCAGGAAACUGGGGCUAAUACCGGAUAGGAGCUCCUGCUGCAUGGUGGGGGUUGGAAAGUUUCGGCGGUUGGGGAUGGACUCGCGGCUUAUCAGCUUGUUGGUGGGGUAGUGGCUUACCAAGGCUUUGACGGGUAGCCGGCCUGAGAGGGUGACCGGCCACAUUGGGACUGAGAUACGGCCCAGACUCCUACGGGAGGCAGCAGUGGGGAAUAUUGCACAAUGGGCGGAAGCCUGACGCAGCAACGCCGCGUGCGGGAUGACGGCCUUCGGGUUGUAAACCGCUUUCGCCUGUGACGAAGCGUGAGUGACGGUAAUGGGUAAAGAAGCACCGGCUAACUACGUGCCAGCAGCCGCGGUGAUACGUAGGGUGCGAGCGUUGUCCGGAUUUAUUGGGCGUAAAGGGCUCAUAGGUGGUUGAUCGCGUCGGAAGUGUAAUCUUGGGGCUUAACCCUGAGCGUGCUUUCGAUACGGGUUGACUUGAGGAAGGUAGGGGAGAAUGGAAUUCCUGGUGGAGCGGUGGAAUGCGCAGAUAUCAGGAGGAACACCAGUGGCGAAGGCGGUUCUCUGGGCCUUUCCUGACGCUGAGGAGCGAAAGCGUGGGGAGCGAACAGGCUUAGAUACCCUGGUAGUCCACGCUGUAAACGGUGGGUACUAGGUGUGGGGUCCAUUCCACGGGUUCCGUGCCGUAGCUAACGCUUUAAGUACCCCGCCUGGGGAGUACGGCCGCAAGGCUAAAACUCAAAGGAAUUGACGGGGCCCCGCACAAGCGGCGGAGCAUGCGGAUUAAUUCGAUGCAACGCGUAGAACCUUACCUGGGUUUGACAUGGAUCGGGAGUGCUCAGAGAUGGGUGUGCCUCUUUUGGGGUCGGUUCACAGGUGGUGCAUGGCUGUCGUCAGCUCGUGUCGUGAGAUGUUGGGUUAAGUCCCGCAACGAGCGCAACCCUUGUUCACUGUUGCCAGCACGUUAUGGUGGGGACUCAGUGGAGACCGCCGGGGUCAACUCGGAGGAAGGUGGGGAUGACGUCAAGUCAUCAUGCCCCUUAUGUCCAGGGCUUCACGCAUGCUACAAUGGCUGGUACAGAGAGUGGCGAGCCUGUGAGGGUGAGCGAAUCUCGGAAAGCCGGUCUCAGUUCGGAUUGGGGUCUGCAACUCGACCUCAUGAAGUCGGAGUCGCUAGUAAUCGCAGAUCAGCAACGCUGCGGUGAAUACGUUCCCGGGGCU